AUGAACUUAGCUUGCUAAGUUUGAUGGCGACCGGCGCACGGGUGAGUAACACGUAUCCAACUUGCCGAUGACUCGGGGAUAGCCUUUCGAAAGAAAGAUUAAUACCCGAUGGCAUAAUUCUUCCGCAUGGUAGAACUAUUAAAGAAUUUCGGUCAUCGAUGGGGAUGCGUUCCAUUAGGUUGUUGGCGGGGUAACGGCCCACCAAGCCUUCGAUGGAUAGGGGUUCUGAGAGGAAGGUCCCCCACAUUGGAACUGAGACACGGUCCAAACUCCUACGGGAGGCAGCAGUGAGGAAUAUUGGUCAAUGGACGAGAGUCUGAACCAGCCAAGUAGCGUGAAGGAUGACUGCCCUAUGGGUUGUAAACUUCUUUUAUACGGGAAUAAAGUGAGGCACGUGUGCCUUUUUGUAUGUACCGUAUGAAUAAGGAUCGGCUAACUCCGUGCCAGCAGCCGCGGUAAUACGGAGGAUCCGAGCGUUAUCCGGAUUUAUUGGGUUUAAAGGGAGCGUAGGCGGACGCUUAAGUCAGUUGUGAAAGUUUGCGGCUCAACCGUAAAAUUGCAGUUGAUACUGGGUGUCUUGAGUACAGUAGAGGCAGGCGGAAUUCGUGGUGUAGCGGUGAAAUGCUUAGAUAUCACGAAGAACUCCGAUUG
rnacentral:rRNA from 1 species